rnacentral:rRNA from 1 species
UGGGGAAUAUUGCACAAUGGAGGGAACUCUGAUGCAGCGACGCCGCGUGAACGAAGAAGGCUUUCAAGUCGUAAAGUUCUUUUAUAUGGGAAGAUAAUGACGGUACCAUAAGAAAAAGCCCCGGCUAACUACGUGCCAGCAGCCGCGGUAAUACGUAGGGGGCUAGCGUUGUCCGGAAUCACUGGGCGUAAAGGGUUCGCAGGCGGAAAUGCAAGUCAGGUGUAAAAGGCAGUAGCUUAACUACUGUAAGCAUUUGAAACUGCAUAUCUUGAGAAGAGUAGAGGUAAGUGGAAUUUUUAGUGUAGCGGUGAAAUGCGUAGAUAUUAAAAAGAAUACCGGUGGCGAAGGCUACUUACUGUGCUCAUUCUGACGCUGAGGAACGAAAGCGUGGGUAGCAAACAGG